AAAGUAACUAUAUGACACAUACUGUAUGUUAAUGCACUUUUUAAAAUUGCAAUAUUAAAUAUAUGUAAUUAAUUGUGUGCAUAAAUGAUUCAACUGUGGAAGCGCUAACAUAACACAUUGCAAAUUACUCGUUUAAACAGUUCAGAUUUGUGAAGACGAGAUCACUCAUGUCAUUAUGAUACAUGAGACAAUGUUCUGCGAAAGAAAUGCACAUGCAUUGUUCCAAAAGAAGCCAUUUUACUGAUAAUUGUUUAUUGCUGGCAUACAAGAAAAUUUGAAGAGGAGGAUCAAGUAGUAGACUAUGUUUCUGUUAGCAUGAGAAGAACCUUCUGUGAUGAACUUUGAAUAUGUAUAAAUAUAUACUGUAAGAGAAAAUACAUGUCUAUAUAUAUUCACAACCUAAUACACUCAUGCCUUGAUACCAGUGCAAGUUUCAGUACUUAUUUCCAUCAAUA